rnacentral:rRNA from 1 species
UAAGAUAUAGUCGGUCCCACCGCGAGAGCGGUUCUCUAGAUAAAGCUCAGUGAUUCCGGGUGCCUGAAACCGAAGCUGAGCCCGAGCUAGAGUGUAAAGGGAGUUAUGUUGUACACACCGCCCGUCGCUACUACCGAUUGAAUGGUUUAGUGAGGUCUCGGGACCGGCUCGAAUGAGGUGUUUACACCACGUUUGAGCUGGGAACUUGAACAAACUUGAUCAUUUAGAGGAAGUAAAAGUCGUAACAAGG